CGCCGCCGAGGUUCUCUCCCACCAACCCUACACGCCGCCGGUGCAGGUCCAGACUGUAUUGGGAAACAUCUUUAGAGGAGUUAUAACAGAAUCAUGGGGGACCAGCCAAAAUUCAAAUUAUUGCCCAAAAUUCUCAAUGGUGGUAUCGCAGGUAUUGUGGGAGUCACCUGUGUCUUCCCUCUCGACCUUGUUAAGACUCGGUUGCAGAAUCAACAGAUUGGUCCAAAUGGAGAACGCAUGUAUAAUUCCAUGUAAGUAUAUUAUUAUUAUU